rnacentral:tRNA from 1 species
GGGAGGUUAGCUCAGGGGUAGAGCGUCUGCUUUACACGCAGCAGGUCAUCGGUUCGAUCCCGAUACCUCCCACCA